UACGUAGGGUGCAAGCGUUGUCCGGAAUUAUUGGGCGUAAAGCGUCCGUAGGUGGCUCUUCAAGUCUGCUGUCAAAGAGUGGGGCUUAACCCUGCAAAGGCAGUGGAAACUGAAAGGCUAGAGUGCGGUAGGGGUAGAGGGAAUUCCCGGUGUAGCGGUGAAAUGCGUAGAGAUCGGGAAGAACAUCGGUGGCGAAAGCGCUCUACUGGACCGCAACUGACACUCAGGGACGAAAGCUAGGGGAGCGAAUGGG
rnacentral:rRNA from 1 species